CACACAGGAACGGAGCAACAUAUUCAUACAAGAAGACUUUUUCAGAUGGGCCAAGAGCAGGAGCACAUAGAAUUGUUGCGAAACACAAGCCGGCUUUACACGGUAGUGGAGUAGUUGCCACGCACGUUAUGUUACAAAGCAUACAUACAUGCCACCUGACGAUGAGGCCGUCGCACCGCCGAGCGCUUCAACUUUGCAAUUUACAGGAGCACUCCUCACCUGCUGGUAGACUUCACAAUCGCCAGAUACAGAUCUGAUGGACGACACCAAGGAAAACUGCAGUUUCAUCACACCAGAAAGCAAAGCAAGGGCCUGCCAAAAGUCAAACGGUAAUC
rnacentral:rRNA from 1 species